CUAUCCCUAGUGGCACACGAUGGCCAUUGGAUAUCCACCCAUAAUCUUAGGUUGAUCCCAAAUGAUGUACUUUGGAUGUGUUUUGGACAUCUUAAUUACCGUUCCAUACCAAGUCUCGAGGUUAUCUAUGGAUGAUCUAAAGUACAUCCUAUGGUCAUCCAUAGGAUGUCCUAUGAAUAUACGUCUACGCCAUGGUCAAAGACAAAAACUUGGAAUGGUUUCCACGAUUACGGGCUAUCUCUUUGGCAGCCGAGGGUGAAGAGUCCGAGAAAAACGAAAUUCGUUCACUUCAAGUUCAACUUGAAACGACUCAAUCUCUCGUGUCCACUUUGUCUCGUCAACUGACCGAAUAAAAGGACCAGAUGACGGAAUACCGGAAGCAGAAGCAACGAAUGGGAUUGCUCAAUUCAGCACCGGCGUAUUUCCACCACCUCAGCCAAUAAGUUCGACACUCGAACCGAUUUUUCCCGACUCUUUUUCCCUAUCCAAACAAAACAUUCCCUAGCGCUUCCCUUCAUUUCCUACUAUCAACUGCCUUCUCUGCCACAACUGCGAUGUUAAUCCAUGAAGCGACAAUAACGAGUCCCAAUCCGCACCAAUGUUAUCAAAUUAAGUUUUCUAUUGUUAUUCAUCUGCUGCAAUGAAAUAUCUUAUGACAAUAUUGUUUACGAAUCUGUUUCUUAAAAAUUGUUUAUUUUUUGGAUAAUUAACUAAAAUUCCCAUUCAAUAUUCAUUUGUUGAAGAACGGCAUCCUAAAUUGGUCCGUUCGUAAAAAGCGACCCAAUGAUGUCAUUCAAUUUUCUAUUUGUUUCAUAGUCUAUGAGAUAGACGAUAUAUUAUUAUCGAUAAAUUCUGUUGUCCUUUUUUUCAAAUAUCGGUCGUUUGCUAACGAAUUUGGGAGGUUCUGUCUCUGUUGGUAAUGUCGGCAUUACCAAUGUUGCUCUUUCCAGUUUCGCCUGAUUAUGCAUUUCCUUUUCAUGUCAUGCCUUCAUUGCCAGCACUUGAGAAAUAAUUUCGAAUACACACUGCUGCAAGGAAAAUUCACAAAUUGACUUCUGA